rnacentral:ncRNA from 1 species
GGGUGUCGGUUGGGUUGGGCCGCCGGCAGGUUACGAGCUGGUCGGGCCGCCAGCU